GGGUAAUAGUUAAUAAUAACAUUUAACUUGCAUUUAAAAAGUAUUGCCUAAGCAAUUUACCUUA
rnacentral:tRNA from 1 species